CCUACGGGAGGCUGCAGUGGGGAAUAUUGGGCAAUGGAGGCAACUCUGAACCAGCAACGCCGCGUGAAUGAUGAAGGUCUUCGGAUUGUAAAGUUCUGUGAUGGGGGAUGAACACAAUGACGGUACCCCAAUAGCAAGCCACGGCUAACUACGUGCCAGCAGCCGCGGGAAUACGGAGGUGGCAAGCGUUAUCCGGAAUGACUGGGCGUAAAGGGGGCGUAGGCGGUUUAGGAAGUUGGAGGGUAAAUUCCGGGGCUCAACCGCGGCGCUACCGCCGAAACUAGUAGCCUAGAGUGUAGGAGAGGUAAGUGGAAUUCCUAGUGUAGCGGUGAAAUGCGUAGAUAUUAGGAGGAACACCAGGGGCGAAGGCGACUUACUGGACUGUAACUGACACUGAGGCACGAAAGCGUGGGGAGCAAACAGGAUUAGAUACCCGUGUAGUC
rnacentral:rRNA from 1 species